GAGGAACCGCUGAUUCAGUCCAUAACCUCCUGUGCAAUCUUCUGCCUGCUUAUUCAAUUUCCCACCACUUCCAUAGCAGACCUGCUAAUUUACCCAGCAUCUAAACUGCCCACAAACUCCAACAACAUUUCAUCGGUGCAGAAAUCUACAGGAGAAUGGGAUAGAGUCUGUUUAUGCUGCUCACCCUUGCCCUUCAUGGACAGUUGAUUGGGAGAGCCUACCGGCAGCUGUCAACCCCACUGAAGGUAAGAUGUCAGACGCCCGUGCCGUGCGCAAAAGACAGCAGCUCAACAAUCUGGUUGCCAUGGUGACAGAGCUGGCCUGCCCCGGCACACGGUGGUGGAUUUCUGCAGCGGGGGGGGGCACGUUGGGAUUGUUUUGGCGUACACUCUUCCUAAAUGUCAGGUUAUUCUCAUUGAAAAUAAAGAGGAGUCUUUGGUCAGGGCCUGAGACAGAAGCGCUCAGCUCGGAUUGA
rnacentral:lncRNA from 12 species